rnacentral:rRNA from 1 species
GACGAACGCUGGCGGCGUGCCUAAUACAUGCAAGUCGAACGCAGUGGGGAUGGGUGAGUAACACGUGGGUAACCUCCCAUCAGAGGGGAUAACACUUGGACACAGGUGCUAAACCGAUACUGAUGGAUGGACCCGCGGUGCAUUAGCUAGUUGGUGGGGUAACGGCUCACCAAGGCCAAGAUGCAUAGCGGACCGGGGAGGGUGAUCGGCCACACUGGGACGGAGACACGGCCCAGACUCCUACGGGAGGCAGCAGUAGGGAACCUUCGGCAAUGGACGAAAGCCUGACCGAGAAACGCCGCGUGAGUGAAGAAGGUUUUCGGAUCGUAAACCUCUGUUGUUAGAGAAGCGGUAUCUAACCAGAAAGCCACGGCUAACUACGUGCCAGCAGCCGCGGUAAUAC